UUUGUAUUUUUUUUUAAUGAUGUGGCAUGUUUUUUAUUAAAAAAUUAAAAAAAAGAAUUUACACAUUAAAAAAAAAAAGGAUCCAUUCUAAUUCAAGUCUUAAUCCUAACCCAGUACCCAAUUAAACUCAUUUACAAUCUGAUUCACAAACCCACGAGAGAGAGAUUGAACAGUUCCAAGUCUGCCAUUAUCUUUCAAAGCAAAGACAAAGAGCUCGAUAUCGAUCAUGGAGGAGAUGAUGAAGAAGAAGAAGAAGAAGAAGAUGAGGACGACUACAGUAUUCGCAACAACUGGACGAUACAAUUGUAUUUGGUGGCCGGAGACGGAGGAGUUUCUGUCGUGGCGGGGUGGUUGGAUCUCACUUCGACUUUCGGCAAAGCUGCGGAGCAGAGGAUCGUGCCUUAGCAGCAACAGAAACCUCUGGUCAAGAAGAGCCAACGUGGAAAAAGUCUUGAAGCUCACAGUAUCAAGGCGUUAUGUUUUAUCGAAGAACUAGUCGAUGGGAAUCGCAUAUUUGGGAUUGAGGAAAGCAAGUGUUUUUGGGAGGAUUUGACACUGCUCAUGCUGCUGAUAGGUAUAUAAAAAUGAACUGUUUCUGAUUAUUUUGAUUGCAAUGGUUGUAGUUUUUACUAUUUUGGAUAAAAUGAACUUGUGGGAAUGUUAUGGCAAUUCGGGUUUUUUCGAUCACGGGUGAUUGGGCUGCGAUCAAGUUUUGAGGAGUGGAAGCUGAUAUAAAUAUAGAUUUCAAUAUCAGUGACUAUGAUGAUGAUAUUAAGCAGGUUGAGUGUGAGAGUCUUGUGUAGUUUGAUUGGUGCAAGGUGGACCAUAACCAAGCCAUCAUGAGUUGCAGACUUGGUUGUAGCUGUGGAGGUACAGAAAGAUGGUAGCAAUAGCAAAGGCUACGAUAGAUGAGACAGCAGUAAAGGGAGAAAUCCGGUGCCCAAGGGGAUUGCAAGAAUUAGUGGAGGUGGAGAUAGUUAAAACUUGAACCCGAAUGUGAAGCCUCCAUUACCAAAAUGAGAGCAACUUUUGCUGUAUUGAAUGAUAAUUAAGUUGCACUCAUGCUUACAUUUAAGAAUAAAAGUUAAUUUUACUACA